rnacentral:rRNA from 1 species
GAUUAGUGGCGAACGGGUGAGUAACACGUGGGCAAUCUGCCCUGCACUCUGGGACAAGCCCUGGAAACGGGGUCUAAUACCGGAUAUGAGCCUCCAUCGCAUGGUGGGGGCUGUAAAGCUCCGGCGGUGCAGGAUGAGCCCGCGGCCUAUCAGCUUGUUGGUGAGGUAACGGCUCACCAAGGCGACGACGGGUAGCCGGCCUGAGAGGGCGACCGGCCACACUGGGACUGAGACACGGCCCAGACUCCUACGGGAGGCAGCAGUGGGGAAUAUUGCACAAUGGGCGAAAGCCUGAUGCAGCGACGCCGCGUGAGGGAUGACGGCCUUCGGGUUGUAAACCUCUUUCAGCAGGGAAGAAGCGAAAGUGACGGUACCUGCAGAAGAAGCGCCGGCUAACUACGUGCCAGCAGCCGCGGUAAUACGUAGGGCGCAAGCGUUGUCCGGAAUUAUUGGGCGUAAAGAGCUCGUAGGCGGCUUGUCACGUCGGUUGUGAAAGCCCGGGGCUUAACCCCGGGUCUGCAGUCGAUACGGGCAGGCUAGAGUUCGGUAGGGGAGAUCGGAAUUCCUGGUGUAGCGGUGAAAUGCGCAGAUAUCAGGAGGAACACCGGUGGCGAAGGCGGAUCUCUGGGCCGAUACUGACGCUGAGGAGCG